rnacentral:rRNA from 1 species
UACGUAGGGGGCAAGCGUUGUCCGGAUUUAUUGGGCGUAAAGAGCGUGUAGGCGGCUAUAAAGGUCCGUUGUGAAAACUCGAGGCUCAACCUCGAGACGCCGAUGGAAACCGUAUGGCUAGAGUCCGGAAGAGGAGAGCGGAAUUCCUGGUGUAGCGGUGAAGUGCGCAGAUAUCAGGAAGAACACCCGUGGCGAAGGCGGCUCUCUGGGACGGUACUGACGCUGCGACGCGAAAGCGUGGGGAGCGAACAGG